GCAAGUUGUGGGAGAAAGUUUCUUCGGAGAUGAGUAAACCGGCAGAAGGGUGAGUAUAAACUAGUUAACGUACCCAUAGGACUCGGAUAAUUCCUGGAAACGGGUUGUAAAACGGGAUGAGACCACAGUCACUUCGGUGACAGGGGUCAAAGGCAGGGGAUCCUUCGGGACCUUGUGCCUAUGGAGCGGACUAGUCCUGAUUAGCUUGAUGGUGAGGUAAUGGCUCACCAUGGCGAUGAUCAGUAGCCGGCCUGAGAGGGUGUUC
rnacentral:rRNA from 1 species